CGUCGGGAGGUGAGGUGUUACUGGAUGAGUGUUGUCUUACGUCGGUCUCCGGCGCCGGGGAGGAGGGGAUUACGGACCGCAGUCGCUUGAGUUUUUGAGACUUAUACACCGUGUGGGACAGCUGGAAAGACUGUAUACUUCUCAGAAGACUCGUGAGAGGCAUGGCCCCACUUCCUACCUGAUGUCGGAAGAAAGAAAUGGCUGAGGGAGGUGUCCAGAUAGAUGAGCUUGAGCUGGUACUUCCUAUGGCCCUUGCCUUUUGAAUGAGGACCUUCAACAUCCCAUACAAUGGCUGUUGGAGUGAAGACAAAGUGUGGCACUGCCACAAGCUUAUGUGAAGUAGCAUGCAACCUGAGGAAGAAAUAAACCUUUGUUGUUAUAAGCCA